rnacentral:rRNA from 1 species
UACGAAGGGGGCUAGCGUUGCUCGGAAUCACUGGGCGUAAAGCGCACGUAGGCGGACUCUUAAGUCGGUGGUGAAAUCCUGGAGCUCAACUCCAGAACUGCCUUCGAUACUGAGAGUCUCGAGUCCGGGAGAGGGUGAGUGGAACUGCGAGUGUAGAGGGUGAAAUUCGUAGAUAUUCGCAAGAACACCAGUGGCGAAGGCGGGCUCACUGGCCCGGUACUGACGCUGAGGUGCGAAAGCGUGGGGAGCAAACAGG